rnacentral:rRNA from 1 species
AGGAUGUGGCUGCGGCCGAUUAGGUAGACGGUGGGGUAACGGCCCACCGUGCCAAUAAUCGGUACGGGUUGUGAGAGCAAGAGCCCGGAGACGGUAUCUGAGACAAGAUACCGGGCCCUACGGGGCGCAGCAGGCGCGAAACCUUUACACUGCACGCGAGUGCGAUAAGGGGACUCCAAGUGCGAGGGCAUAUCGUCCUCGCUUUUCGCGACCGUAAGGUGGUCGCAGAAUAAGUGCUGGGCAAGACCGGUGCCAGCCGCCGCGGUAAUACCGGCAGCACAAGUGAUGACCGCUAUUAUUGGGCCUAAAGCGUCCGUAGCNGUCCGUAGCUGGCCAGCCAAGUCCAUCGGGAAAUCCGCGUGCUUAACACGCGGGCGUCCGGUGGAAACUGGAUGGCUUGGGACCGGAAGAUCCAGAGGGUACGUCCGGGGUAGGAGUGAAAUCCCGUAAUCCUGGACGGACCACCGGUGGCGAAAGCGCUCUGGAAAGACGGAUCCGACGGUGAGGGACGAAAGCUCGGGUCACGAACCGGAUUAGAUACCCGGGUAGUCCGAGCUGUAAACGAUGUCUGCUAGNUGGGCAAGACCGGUGCCAGCCGCCGCGGUAAUACCGGCAGCACAAGUGAUGACCGCUAUUAUUGGGCCUAAAGCGUCCGUAGCUGGCCACUCAAGUCCAUCGGGAAAUCCGCGUGCUUAACACGCGGGCGUCCGGUGGAAACUGAGUGGCUUGGGACCGGAAGACCAGAGGGGUACGUCCGGGGUAGGAGUGAAAUCCCGUAAUCCUGGACGGACCACCGGUGGCGAAAGCGCCUCUGGAAGACGGAUCCGACGGUGAGGGACGAAAGCUCGGGUCACGAACCGGAUUAGAUACCCGGGUAGUCCGAGCUGUAAACGAUGUCUGCUAGGUGUGACACAGGCUACGAGCCUGUGUUGUGCCGUAGGGAAGCCGUGAAGCAGACCGCCUGGGAAGUACGUCCGCAAGGAUGAAACUUAAAGGAAUUGGCGGGGGAGCACUACAACCGGAGGAGCCUGCGGUUUAAUUGGACUCAACGCCGGACAUCUCACCAGCAUCGACAACGUGCCGUGAAGGUCAGUGUGAUGAGCUUACUGGAGCCGUUGAGAGGAGGUGCAUGGCCGCCGUCAGCUCGUACCGUGAGGCGUCCUGUUAAGUCAGGCAACGAGCGAGACCCGCACUCCUAAUUGCCAGCAACACCCUUGUGGUGGUUGGGUACAUUAGGAGGACUGCCAGUGCCAAACUGGAGGAAGGAACGGGCAACGGUAGGUCAGUAUGCCCCGAAUGUGCUGGGCGACACGCGGGCUACAAUGGCCAAGACAGUGGGAUGCAACCCCGAAAGGGGGCGCUAAUCUCCGAAACUUGGUCGUAGUUCGGAUUGAGGGCUGAAACUCGCCCUCAUGAAGCUGGAUUCGGUAGUAAUCGCGCCUCAGAAGGGCGCGGUGAAUACGUCCCUGCUCCUUGCACACACCGCCCGUCAAAGCACCCGAGUGGGGUCCGGAUGAGGCC